rnacentral:rRNA from 1 species
GACGAACGCUGGCGGCGUGCUUAACACAUGCAAGUCGAACGGUAAGGCCCUUCGGGGUACACGAGUGGCGAACGGGUGAGUAACACGUGGGUGAUCUGCCCUGCACUUCGGGAUAAGCCUGGGAAACUGGGUCUAAUACCGGAUAGGACCACUGCCUGCAUGGGUGGUGGUGGAAAGCUUUUGCGGUGUGGGAUGGGCCCGCGGCCUAUCAGCUUGUUGGUGGGGUGAUGGCCUACCAAGGCGACGACGGGUAGCCGGCCUGAGAGGGUGACCGGCCACACUGGGACUGAGGUACGGCCCAGACUCCUACGGGAGGCAGCAGUGGGGAAUAUUGCACAAUGGGUGCAAGCCUGAUGCAGCGACGCCGCGUGAGGGAUGACGGCCUUCGGGUUGUAAACCUCUUUCAGCACCGACGAAGCGCAAGUGACGGUAGGUGCAGAAGAAGGACCGGCCAACUACGUGCCAGCCGCCGCAGUAA